rnacentral:rRNA from 1 species
UCCCGUUGAUCCUGCGGGAGGUUGCUGCUAUUAGGAUUCGACUAAGCCAUGCAAGUUAGGGAGUCUUCGGACUACCAGCAUAAUGCUCAGUAACACGUCGAUAAUCUGCCUUUAGGUCAGGAAUAACCUUGGGAAACUGAGGCUAAUACCUGAUAGAGAAAGAUAUUGAAACAUUCUUUCUUGAAAGUUUCGGUGCCUAAAGAUGAGACGGCGGCUUAUUAGGUUGUUGGUAGGGUAAUGGCCUACCAAGCCGAAGAUAAGUAGGGGCCUUGAGAGAGGGAGCCCCGAGAAGGGCACUGGCACACUGGCCCUAGCUCUACGGAGUGCAGCAGGCGCGAAACCUUUACAAUACACGAAAGUGUGAUAAGGGGAUCCUAAGUGCUGAUACAUUGUAUCGGCUUUUUUCAAGACUAAAUCUCUUGGAGAAUAAGUGGUGGGAAAGACUGGUGCCAGCAGCCGCGGUAACACCAGCGCCACAAGUGGCAGCCAUUUUUAUUGGGCCUAAAAGGUUCGUAGCCGGUUUGAUAAAUCCUUUGUGAAAUUGUUGUGCCUAACAUAACAACGUGCAGAGGACACUGUUAAACUUGGAAUCGGGAGGGGUUAGAAGUAUUUUAGGGGUAGCGGUAAAAUGUUAUAAUCCCUAAAGGACUAUCGGUGGCGAAGGCGUCUAACCAGCACGAAUUCGACGGUGAGGAACGAAAGCUAGGGGAGCGAUCCGGAUUAGAUACCCGAGUAGUCCUAGCUGUAAACGCUGUGAGCAAGGUGGUGCAUAUUCUUCGGGAAUAUGCAGCGUCGAAACGAAGGUGUUAAGCUCACUGCCUGGGGAGUACGGUCGCAAGGCUGAAACUUAAAGGAAUUGGCGGGGGAGCACCACAAGGGGUGCGGCGUGCGGUUUAAUCUAACUCAACGCAGAGAAUCUUACCAAGAGCGACGGCAGGAUGAAGGUCUAGCUAAAUACUAUACCAGACAAGCCGAGAGGUAGCGCAUGGCCGUCGUCAGCUCGUGCCGUGAGGUGUCCUGUUAAGUCAGGCAACGAGCGAGACCUGUACCUACAAUUGCUAACAACCUUUGGGAUUGAGCACUUUGUAGGGACUGCCUGUGAAAACAGGAGGAAGGUGCAGACUACGGUAGGUCUGUAUGCUCCGAAUCUCUUGGGAUACACGCGCGCAACAAUGGUAGGGACAAUAGGAUACAACUCCGAAAGGAGAAGUUAAUCCCCUAAACCCUAUCUAAGUCCGGAUUGAGGAUUGUAACUCAUCCUCAUGACGCUGGAAUCCCUAGUAAUCGGGUGUUAUCAUCGCCCGGUGAAUAUGUCCCUGCUCCUUGCACACACCGCCCGUCAAACCAACCGAGAAGGGUUUAGGUGAGUAUUAGGCUUUUACCUAAUCCGAAUCUAAGCUCAGUGAGGUGGGUUAAGUCGUCACAAGGUA